rnacentral:rRNA from 1 species
CGGGACGGGUGAGUAAUGUCUGGGAAAUUGCCUGAUGGAGGGGGAUAACUACUGGAAACGGUAGCUAAUACCGCAUAACGUCGCAAGACCAAAGAGGGGGACCUUCGGGCCUCUUGCCAUCGGAUGUGCCCAGAUGGGAUUAGCUAGUAGGUGGGGUAACGGCUCACCUAGGCGACGAUCCCUAGCUGGUCUGAGAGGAUGACCAGCCACACUGGAACUGAGACACGGUCCAG